AUGUGGAUUUAGCAGCAUAUGCACUAAAACUGGAAUGACACAAAGAUUAACAUGACCCCUGUGAAAGGAUGGCAUGCCUAUUUGUGAAGCAUUCCAUAUUUUU